UGAAUCACGGGCGAUAGACAGCGCUGUCGAAGGCGGCGAUAAGGCGGAGGCGUCGCCUCUGGCAGUGCCUCGCCAGAGGGCUCGCGCGGCGCACGUCGCUGACAUGGCGGAGAACACCGUCAACACCGUCACAGAACGGAGCUAUGGCCUGCACUUCUGGAGCCUUUCACUCUCUGUCUUACUCAUUGUGGUUGUCACAAUAAUAUUAAUCACAGUGUACCUUGCUGAUGGAAAGGCAGCAGUUCUGCUUGGAGUAUUUAUUCCCCUUCUUGUUGUUACUGGUGUUGUCAUUGCAUUGCUCUGGCGGCGGCAAAGGCAAACUGUCAUUGUCCGGCAGAGGAGCGGGCCACAGGAAGUAACUACGGUGCCUCCAGCAGAUCCACAACAGCCCACUGCUCCUCCAGCCUCUGCAAGAUCAUCCUGGAGACCAUGGCGGCGAAUGUCCAAUUCGAGCAGCAGCCACUCUUGGAUGAUAUGGCGCAAAACACAAUAUAAUGAUGUCCCUACCUCUCCACCUUCCAGUGCAUAACUCAUUUUUAGCAGGAAAGAACAUGCCUUAAUUUAUACACGUUUAUAUAAAUUCAUAUAUUUUUAAUAAGUUAUUUACCUUUAAUAAACAAAUAUACAACUCAGAAACUGCUGUUCCAAAUCAAGACAAGUGUGACCAAGAAAGGCUGUUCAUGCUUAUGCACAUAUUCAGAACAACAGUCUGCAAGGUUUAGACUGCUUAAACUCACUACACACCACCUUGCUACUGCAUGUUGCAAGGAACCAUAGACAAAUCUGUAUCCAUGCUUGAAAGUGCAUUCGAUAAUGUUACAUGAAUUCUACCGAUUCAAGCCAAAGCAUUCACUCACAGUUAAGGUUGUUUCAAAUGGUGAAGGAGCUAGCAUCUAUGCACUUUAUAAUUCCAGUGAUGCACAAUUCUGAGAAAAAAAGACAGUUGAAUAUGGCAACUUCAUGCUACGAACUUGUGAAUGUUUCAAAUGAUUUACUUAAUUUGUUAUUUAUUUUCUGUAUUUGGAUAAAUAACUGAACCAUCUAGAAUCCAAAUGAAGAAUAAUUAAUUAAAACUUGCCUUAUAUAAAUCGGA